GACGAAGGGGGCUAGCGUUGUUCGGAAUCACUGGGCUUAAAGGGCGCGUAGGCGGCUCGCAUGGUCGGGGGUGAAAUCCCGCAGCUCAACUGCGGAAGUGCCUUCGAUACCGGCGGGCUCGAGGAAGGUAGGGGUGCGCGGAACUUCUGGUGGAGCGGUGAAAUGCGUUGAUAUCAGAAGGAACGCCGGCGGCGAAAGCGGCGCACUGGACCUUUUCUGACGCUGAUGCGCGAAAGCCAGGGGAGCAAACGGG
rnacentral:rRNA from 1 species